ACGAGAUAGUUUCAAUCAUGAUCAGACCAAACACGUUCAAAAUGGUGGAUAGAUGUGGAGAGGAGUCGUUUAUUCGUUUAUCCAUCAUACAAUCAAAGAGCCCGUUACCAGGCAACCAAAAGGUGUACUUUGACAAUCUUGGCGAAAAAUCAUGAACACCAGAAUGACGCGACCUUUUCUUGGCUCGUGGGUCUCGUGCAUUUACGAUGCAUUGGUAUGGCGUGUCAGAAUAUCGCAGAUAACGGGUAA